GAGAGGGAGAGGAGGCAGAGGAGGGAGGUUAGAAGGACGACGAGAGGUAAAGAGAGGGUCUGGUCAAGCCUAUAUAAGCCCAGUCACACACUUCCUUCCUCACCACUUCGUCUCCUUCGUCUGCACCUCCUUAAGUAGUUAUGAUCGCCUCCACCUCAAGAAUGGGGGCCGUGGCGGUGAUGGUGGUGGUGGCCCUCCUCGCCCCUCACACCAGUGCCACGCCCUUCAGAUUCGGAUCCAAGAAGCGAGACCAAGCCGACCCAUCCUCCUCUCCCUCCCCCGUUCCUCCUCCUCCUGCCUUCCCCGCCACUGAUGGAGCAGGACUGGGAGGGCUUGGAAAUAAGGGAGACACGGGGGUGCUUCUUCCUCCCAUUGGCGCAGACACAGGACUAGGAGGAGGGGGAAUAGGAGGAGGAAAAGGAGGACUAGGCUUAGGAGGACAAGGAGGACUGGGUUUAGGAGGAGCAGGAGAAACUGGAUUCUUCGCGGUUGUUGACGGAAUAGACGAUGGAAUUGACGUACUAAUGGACGGAGGAAUAGGAUUAGGAGUAGGAGGAGGAGCUGGAGGACUAGACGCAUCCAACACUCUAUUCGUGAAAGAUGAAGCGGUACUAGACAACCCCUUCAGCACGAGCAGCCAGGAAAUUACAGCCCUCGUGCCCGCCUCUACCACCUCCAUCUUCAACAGGGCAGGCCAAAGAACCCCCUGCAUGCGCGUGUACCGCCUCGCCAAGAACUUAAAGGGGCGUCUCUUCCAAAGGGGGAACAGAAGGGGAAACAGAGGAGGCAGAGGAAGGCGCUUUGGGGAGGAGGUUCUGGGGAGGAUCUUGUGUUUGAUUCCUGAUUCACUGAGGGCUUCCCGCAGACGUGGUUGAGUGGGAAGGUCUCCCUCUUCCCUCUCACUAUCCCAGACAACCCACCACCCUCUUCCCUGAGUCUCGCUAUUUCCUCACCACGACCAAGCAACGCACCACAAGACAAGCAGGAAAAAAAAAAUAUAUAUAUAUAUAAACAAACUAAAAGUACCACAGAAUUAUAUGACACUAAAAGCAAAAACACAUGAAAAAAAAGGAGAAAAAAUGAAACGGUAAAACAAAAUAGAUAAAAAACGAUACGUUCAUCCCUACACACACACACACACACACACACACACACACACACACACACACACA